UACGUAGGGUGCGAGCGUUAAUCGGAAUUACUGGGCGUAAAGCGUUGCGUAGGUGGUUUGUUUAAGUCUGAUGUGAAAGCCCUGGGCUCAACCUGGGAAUUUGCAUUGGAUACUGGCAGGCUAGAGUGCGGUAGAGGGUAGUGGAAUUCCCGGGUGUAGCAGUGAAAUGCGUAGAGAUCGGGAGGAACAUCUGUGGCGAAGGCGACUACCUGGACCAGCACUGA
rnacentral:rRNA from 1 species